CGACAAGCUGCAAAAGGGCGUAUGGGGAAUGCCUAGGCUCUCAGAGGCGAAGAAGGACGCGAUAAGCUGCGAAAAGCUGCGGGGAUCGGCACACACGAUAUGAUCCGCAGAUAUCCGAAUGGGGCAACCCGGCUGGUUGAAGGCCAGUCACACCGCAAGGUGGGCAAACCCGGUGAACUGAAACAUCUAAGUAACCGGAGGAGGAGAAAACAAAAGUGAUUCCGAUAGUAGCGGCGAGCGAAAUCGGAUUAGUCCAAACCAAUGUUGUUUCGGCAAUAUUGGGGUUGUAGGACCACGAUAUUUGGUGUGUUAUGAAUCAGAAUCCUUUGGAAAGAGGAGCCAUAGAAGGUGAUAGCCCUGUAAGAGUAAAGACCAUUACCGAUAGUGGUAUCCUGAGUAGUGCGGGGCACGUGAAACCCUGUAUGAAUCCGGCGGGACCAUCCGCCAAGACUAAAUACUCCUGAGAGACCGAUAGUGAACCAGUACCGUGAGGGAAAGGUGAAAAGAACCGUGAAUAACGGAGUGAAAUAGAUCCUGAAACCAUACGCCUACAAGCGGUCGGAGCCCUUCGGGGUGACGGCGUGCCUUUUGCAUAAUGAGCCUACGAGUUACUGUUGCUAGCAAGGUUAAGGACUUCAGGUCCGGAGCCGUAGCGAAAGCGAGUCUGAAUAGGGCGCCAUAGUUAGUAGUAGUAGACGCGAAACCGAGCGAUCUACCCAUGGGCAGGUUGAAGCUGUAGUAACAUAUAGUGGAGGACCGAACCCGUUGACGUUGAAAAGUCUUGGGAUGACCUGUGGGUAGGGGUGAAAGGCCAAUCAAGCUCGGAAAUAGCUCGUACUCCCCGAAAUGCAUUUAGGUGCAGCGUUUAAAUAGUUUUAUAGAGGUAGAGCUACUGAUUGGAUGCGGGGGCUUCACCGCC
rnacentral:rRNA from 1 species